GUUCUGCCCAUGCGGGGAAGGAUGAGAAGCUUCGACCAAGGUUCGACUCGAGCGCCAGCGAGAGAGCGUUGCCGCAGGCAACGACCCGAAGGGCGAAGCGCGCAGCGCUGAGUAAUCCUUCCCCCACCACCA
rnacentral:sRNA from 1 species